UACAGAGGUCCCAAGCGUUGUUCGGAUUCAUUGGGCGUAAAGGGUGCGUAGGCGGCGCGGUAAGUCGGGUGUGAAAUCUCGGGGCUUAACUCCGAAACUGCAUUCGAUACUGCCGUGCUUGAGGACUGGAGAGGAGACUGGAAUUUACGGUGUAGCGGUGAAAUGCGUAGAUAUCGUAAGGAAGACCAGUGGCGAAGGCGGGUCUCUGGACAGUUCCUGACGCUGAGGCACGAAGGCCAGGGGAGCAAACGGGG
rnacentral:rRNA from 1 species